UACAGAGGGGGCAAGCGUUGUUCGGAAUUACUGGGCGUAAAGGGUUCGUAGGUGGCCGACUAAGUCAGACGUGAAAUCCCUCAGCUCAACUGGGGAACUGCGUCUGAGACUGGCCGGCUUGAGUGCAGGAGAGGAACGCGGAAUUCCAGGUGUAGCGGUGAAAUGCGUAGAUAUCGGGAGGAACAUCAGUGGCGAAGGCGGCCUUCUGGUCCAGUACUGACACUCAAGUGCGAAAGCGUGGGGAGCAAACAGG
rnacentral:rRNA from 1 species